AGUGAACGCUGGCGGUAGGCCUAACACAUGCAAGUCGAACGGCAGCACAGUAAGAGCUUGCUCUUACGGGUGGCGAGUGGCGGACGGGCGAGGAAUACAUCGGAAUCUACUUUUUCGUGGGGGAUAACGUAGGGAAACUUACGCUAAUACCGCAUACGACCUACGGGUGAAAGCAGGGGAUCUUCGGACCUUGCGCGAUUGAUUGAGCCGAUGUCGGAUUAGCUAGUUGGCGGGGUAAAGGCCCACCAAGGCGACGAUCCGUAGCUGGUCUGAGAGGAUGAUCAGCCACACUGGAACUGAGACACGGUCCAGACUCCUACGGGAGGCAGCAGUGGGGAAUAUUGGACAAAGGGCGCAAGCCUGAUCCAGCCAUACCGCGUGGGUGAAGAAGGCCUUCGGGUUGUAAAGCCCUUUUGUUGGGAAAGAAAAGCAGCAGGUUAAUACCCCGCUGUUCUGACGGUACCCAAAGAAUAAGCACCGGCUAACUUCGUG
rnacentral:rRNA from 1 species